rnacentral:rRNA from 1 species
UACGUAGGGGGCGAGCGUUGUCCGGAUUUAUUGGGCGUAAAGAGCGUGUAGGCGGCCAGGUAGGUCUGCUGUGAAAACUCGAGGCUCAACCUCGAGACGUCGGCGGAAACCAUCUGGCUAGAGUCCGGAAGAGGAGAGUGGAAUUCCUGGUGUAGCGGUGGAAUGCGCAGAUAUCAGGAGGAACACCAAUAGCGAAGGCAGCUCGCUGGGACGUUACUGACACUGAGGCGCGAAAGCGUGGGGAGCAAACAGG